rnacentral:rRNA from 1 species
UACGAAGGGUGCAAGCGUUACUCGGAAUUACUGGGCGUAAAGCGUGCGUAGGUGGUUUGUUAAGUCUGAUGUGAAAGCCCUGGGCUCAACCUGGGAAUUGCAUUGGAUACUGGCAGGCUAGAGUGCGGUAGAGGGUAGUGGAAUUCCCCGGUGUAGCAGUGAAAUGCGUAGAGAUCGGGAGGAACAUCUGUGGCGAAGGCGACUACCUGGACCAGCACUGACACUGAGGCACGAAAGCGUGGGGAGCAAACAGG